rnacentral:rRNA from 1 species
GAUGAACGCUGGCGGCGUGCCUAAUACAUGCAAGUCAAGCGAACAGAUGAGGAGCUUGCUCCUCUGACGUUAGCGGCGGACGGGUGAGUAACACGUGGAUAACCUACCUAUAAGACUGGGAUAACUUCGGGAAACCGGAGCUAAUACCGGAUAAUAUAUUGAACCGCAUGGUUCAAUAGUGAAAGACGGUUUUGCUGUCACUUAUAGAUGGAUCCGCGCCGCAUUAGCUAGUUGGUAAGGUAACGGCUUACCAAGGCAACGAUGCGUAGCCAACCUGAGAGGGUGAUCGGCCACACUGGAACUGAGACACGGUCCAGACUCCUACGGGAGGCAGCAGUAGGGAAUCUUCCGCAAUGGGCGAAAGCCUGACGGAGCAACGCCGCGUGAGUGAUGAAGGUCUUCGGAUCGUAAAACUCUGUUAUUAGGGAAGAACAAAUGUGUAAGUAACUAUGCACGUCUUGACGGUACCUAAUCAGAAAGCCACGGCUAACUACGUG